UAAGCGAAUAGUGAAAUCAUCCCGCUCAACGGGAGACACAUUGUUCGAACUGCUAAGCUAGAGGACGAGAGAGGUCGCUGGAAUUCCUAGUGUAGGGGUAAAAUCCGUUGAUAUUAGGAGGAACACCAAUGGCGUAGGCAGGCGACUGGCUCGUUUCUGACACUCAGGCACGAAAGCGUGGGGAGCAAACAGGAUUAGAUACCCUGGUAGUCCACGCCGUAAACGAUGGAUGCUG
rnacentral:rRNA from 1 species